rnacentral:tRNA from 1 species
CGGGGUGUAGCUCAGUUGGCUAGAGCGCUUCGUUCGGGACGAAGAGGUCGCUGGUUCAAGUCCAGUCACCCCGA